AGAUAAGGUACCUUCAACUUAUAAAUCCGAAUUUAUAAGUUAUAAGUAAAUCAGUUAUAAGUUAUAAGUAAGGUGGUUAUAAGUCAUAAGUCAACCAAUUAUAAAGUGAAAGUUAUAAGUUCAUAGGUCAAAAGUAUGAACGUCGAAAGUUAUAGAGAUGGAAAGGUAGUGGAUCAGAUAGAGCAAUUAAACUCUAGGAACCAACCUACAUUAAUAUCAAUAAUCACAAAAAUUUAGAAGACAACCAACAAAAUCAUG